AACGCGAAGAACCUUACCUAGCCUUGACAUGCACUGGACCUGCCCUGAAAGGGGCCUUUCCCGCAAGGGACCGGUGCACAGGUGCUGCAUGGCUGUCGUCAGCUCGUGUCGUGAGAUGUUGCGUUAAGUCGCGCAACGAGCGCAACCCCUGUCCUUAGUUGCCAUCAUUCAGUUGGGCACUCUAGGGAGACAAACCCUCUUUGAGGGUGGGAAGGUGGGGAUGACGUCAAGUCAGGAUGGCCCUUACGGCUAGGGCUGCACACGUGCUACAAUGCCCGAUACAGAGGGAAGCAAUACCGCGAGGUGGAGCGAAUCCUCAAAAUCGGGCCCAGUUCAGAUUGUAGUCUGCAACUCGACUACAUGAAGUUGGAAUCGCUAGUAAUGGCGCAUCAGCUACGGCGCCGUGAAUACGUUCCCGGGCCUUGUA
rnacentral:rRNA from 1 species